AUCACCACGCGCACGCGACCCCGUCUUCGUCCCCCGUUAAUCUCGUCGCGGCAUCGAUGGCUCCGCCCUCACCCUCCCCCCAACCUGUCCACGCCCGCGCGGCCUCCCUCGCACCCCACCUCAAUCUCCUACGGAUGUCCCCGCAUCUCGCGGCCGCCGUGCCCAUGCGCCAUCGCCCUUCCCCGUCGUGCCCCCCGUACCCCCAUGCUCGCAACUGCCAACACAUGGCUACCUCCAUGGCCGCCGCCUUCACUCGCUAUCUCUCCUCACCCUUCCCUGUACCGCAUCCACCGGAUCUAGGAGCACGGCGUCGCGUGGAAGCCCGUGCCAUACCCGCAGGCCCGCCACCCACCUCCCCUGGCGUGCAACAGCUUUCGCGCUCCCCCUGCCCCCGCCAUGCCCGCACUGGAUCUGCAAAACAUCCGCCGCUGGCACACUCCUCAGGUGCGGCGGCUGCACUGCACAGCCGGUUCGUCACCAAGCUCCUCAAUGACCUUUUCGGAGUCCAGUCCAGGGGUGACUGCGCGUGCGCGGUACGGCCCGCGCUCCUCGGCGUCGGCGAGGACCUCGCGCUACGCAUCCGUGACGCCAUCGUUAAGGGCUACCACGGCAUGAAGCCUGGGUGGACGCGGUUCAGACUGGAUUUCAGGCCGAAGUGUUAGGUCUGUUGCUGUGGUGCUAGCGUAGGGAUUCGUCACGAAGCCAGAGUCGCUGCCCGACGGGACAACGGACCUGAUGAUCUGUUUAGCCAUAGGUUCCAAACACUUGCUCAGAUAAGACUACAGAAACAAUCAAAGCAGUUAGCAGAGUGGAACACUGCUGCCUUCUCAUCUGAACUUACAGCUACUAAACACAAAGAGGUACGCCAUCUUUUCUAUAUUAAACCUCCUUGGUCUAAGUUCUAUACAAUAUAUUAUUACUGCUACCUUCUCUACAGCUGCAGAUGACCCCUAAGGAUUCUAAACUGGUGAUGCUUAAAAACUGGUGAUACACUACAAUCAACAAGGCAUAUUGAUUCGCAGCAAGUGUUUGGCUGCAUAUAAGAAACUUUCAUCGUAUGAGGUCUCCCGGUGGGUUGUUGAAAGGAUGGUCAAUCUUCAUGACCAAUAUGAAGAAGACCGGAUCAUCAGAUGUUUUGUGAUCUUGGCUUGUAAUUCUUUGAUGUUCCCAACAAUCCAAGCAAGGCAUGUUGCAACACUGAAGCGCCCCAAUCCUCUAGGACUCAAAUGUGAUACAAUUACUAGUCCCAGGAGGCUAGUAACCACAUUCCUUACUUCAAAUAGUACAGAGUUCAAAUAAAAGUUAUUACAAUACCAGGGUACAAGCUCAAGAGAGCCUAAAAUACAAUGCGCAGUGGAAGAUAGACUAGCCCAAGCCACAGGCAGAACUGGGUGCAGACACAGCCCCCUCUA